UACGUAGGGGGCAAGCGUUAUCCGGAUUUACUGGGUGUAAAGGGGGCGCAGACGGCAAUGCAAGCCAGGAGUGAAAGCCCGGGGCCCAACCCCGGGACUGCUCUUGGAACUGCAUGGCUGGAGUACAGGAGGGGCAGGCGGAAUUCCUAGUGUAGCGGUGAAAUGCGUAGAUACUAGGAGGAACACCGGUGGCGAAGGCGGCCUGCUGGACUGUGACUGACGUUGAGGCCCGAAAGCGUGGGGAGCAAACAGG
rnacentral:rRNA from 1 species